rnacentral:rRNA from 1 species
AUUGAACGCUGGCGGCAGGCCUAACACAUGCAAGUCGAGCGGAUGAAGGGAGCUUGCUCCUGGAUUCAGCGGCGGACGGGUGAGUAAUGCCUAGGAAUCUGUCUGGUAGUGGGGGAUAACGUCCGGAAACGGGCGCUAAUACCGCAUACGUCCUGAGGGAGAAAGUGGGGGAUCUUCGGACCUCACGCUAUCAGAUGAGCCUAGGUCGGAUUAGCUAGUUGGUGGGGUAAAGGCCUACCAAGGCGACGAUCCGUAACUGGUCUGAGAGGAUGAUCAGUCACACUGGAACUGAGACACGGUCCAGACUCCUACGGGAGGCAGCAGUGGGGAAUAUUGGACAAUGGGCGAAAGCCUGAUCCAGCCAUGCCGCGUGUGUGAAGAAGGUCUUCGGAUUGUAAAGCACUUUAAGUUGGGAGGAAGGGCAGUAAGUUAAUACCUUGCUGUUUUGACGUUACCAACAGAAUAAGCACCGGCUAACUUCGUGCCAGCAGCCGCGGUAAUACGAAGGGUGCAAGCGUUAAUCGGAAUUACUGGGCGUAAAGCGCGCGUAGGUGGUUCAGCAAGUUGGAUGUGAAAUCCCCGGGCUCAACCUGGGAACUGCAUCCAAAACUACUGAGCUAGAGUACGGUAGAGGGUGGUGGAAUUUCCUGUGUAGCGGUGAAAUGCGUAGAUAUAGGAAGGAACACCAGUGGCGAAGGCGACCACCUGGACUGAUACUGACACUGAGGUGCGAAAGCGUGGGGAGCAAACAGG